CACCCUGUAAAGCACCAGAAAGCGAGCACGCUGUCGCUCCAACAGACUGACUUGCGUGUAGUUCCUACCUCGCGAUAAGCGCUCGUCGAAAACUUUCCUGUAGGUCUUUACAGGGCCCGUUAUUUCUCAUCACUCAGGACUUCCCUCAGAUGACAUCACCCCAGGUCUUCCUUGCCCUUGACAUCUGCACCAUGCAAUCACUUUACUCCGGUAGGUCAUAUUCAUUGUACUUAUUACUCUCAGAAAUUAUGUCCUUUGUCCAGAACCAGUCUUCCUCCCAAGCCUACCAGAAUCUCUAUGAGAGCCGAGUCCUGUUUGCCGCAGGACCCCACUGCUUUGCACAGUUGGUCCUUAGUAAAUCCUACAAUGAAUGGAAUGUGUUUGGGGCCUCUCAUGUCUAGUCAUUUAUGACUUCAUGGUUUCUAAUCCCAUUUUGUACUGGUGAGAGUCCCAAGAUUUAGGGCUAAAACUGCUUGCUUUCAAAAGUUCACAAAAAUAAAUCCUGGGGCUACAGAUAUUCCACACGCAAGCCACGGAAGAUGCUGCUCGCGGCUCGCCACUCCAACAGAAGGACAGGAGCGAGCCCUCAGGAGCCUCAUUCACUCAGGCAUCAAGGCCACUGGACUUGCAGAGACCCUGGCUCAAGGGCGGGACCUAGGCGGUGGGUAGCAGUGGGCAGGCUACGAGGCAGGCUGAGGAGAGGACAGAGUGGCACAGUGCUCCAGAGCAAGGGCUCUCGAAUCUCAAACACGGGUUCAAAUCCUCGCCUCGCCACGCCACGCCACUUACUGUGCGAGGCCUUAGAAAACAGAGGUCAUCUCCCUCAGCUUCAGUUUCCUCCUUUGGAAAAUGAAGGUACUAGGCACGGUGUGAGCACUCAAUAGGGCAAUACGCACAGCCUGCGGAGAGUAAGUGAUCAGUAGAUGUUCCAUUCGUUACUGUGUAGUUCCUGUUCCAAAGGGGCGAAGCCACACACCCCCAGUAUUGCUGGCUACACUCUGGCGGCCGACACAAAGUGGUCUUCCCCCAAACCUCCCUUCCCUUAGCCUGGCCACGCGACUACCAAACCAAAGGAAUAUAAUGAUCAGACCUGGUUUUUCACACUUCCCGAGAUCCUUGAAGUCCAGAGGUCCUCGACCCUGGCUGUGCCUUAGAAUUACCUGUGAGCUCUUCUGGUUUUUGUUAUUUUCUCUCUCUCUCAGUUUUUAAGACAAUGAAUAUUGUUUUCAGCCACCAGGCUUUGAGGCAAUUUGCUACCCAGCAGUAGAUAACUAACGCAAUAUGGAAGCAGAGUUGCUGUAUCAUAGGUUAACCCACGUUGUAGCCUGUAUCAGUGAGUGUUUCAUCACUUCUCGUCUGAGUAACACUCUAUUUUAUGGAUGUCUCGUAUUUUGUUUAUCCAUACAUUCUCAAGUUGAUGGACAUGUGGGUCAUUCCUACUUAUGCUAUUAUGGAUAAUGCUGCUACGAACAUUCAUGUGUAAGCUUUUGCGCCAACGUGUUUCCAAUUCCCCUGGGUAUAUACCUAGGUGUCUAACUGCUGGAUCAUAUGGCAACUCUACGUUCAAUCGUUUGAGGAACUACCAAGCUGUUUUCCAAAGAGGCUUCAUCAUUUUACAUUCCCAUCAGCAACAUAUGAGCAUUCCAAUUUCUCCACAUCCUUGCCAAUACUUGUUAUUAUCUGACUUUUUGAUUAUAGUCUUCCUAGUGGGUGUGAGGUGGUGUCUCAUUUGCAUUUCCCUAAUAAUUAAUAAUGUUGAGCAUCUGAUUAACCUCUUUGGAAAAUCUGUCUUCUAGUCCAUUUUUUAACUGGUUAUUUGUCUUUUCAUUGAUAUGUUGCAGGCAUUCUUUAUAUAUUCUGGACACUAGACUCUUAUCAGAUAUAUGAUUUGUAAAUAUUCUCUCCCAUCCUGAAGAUUGUCUUUUUACUUUUACUUUCUGAGUGUCCUUUGAAGCAAAAAAAGUUUUUAAUUGUCACUAAGUCUAAUAUAACUAUUUUUCUUUGGUUGCUUGUGUUUUUGGUGUCCUAUCUAAUAAACAUUGCCUAAUCCAAGAUCA